AUUGAACGCUGGCGGCAUGCCUUACACAUGCAAGUCGAACGGCAGCACGGGUGCUUGCACCUGGUGGCGAGUGGCGAACGGGUGAGUAAUACAUCGGAACAUGUCCUGUAGUGGGGGAUAGCCCGGCGAAAGCCGGAUUAAUACCGCAUACGAUCCACGGAUGAAAGCGGGGGACCUUCGGGCCUCGCGCUAUAGGGUUGGCCGAUGGCUGAUUAGCUAGUUGGUGGGGUAAAGGCCUACCAAGGCGACGAUCAGUAGCUGGUCUGAGAGGACGACCAGCCACACUGGGACUGAGACACGGCCCAGACUCCUACGGGAGGCAGCAGUGGGGAAUUUUGGACAAUGGGCGAAAGCCUGAUCCAGCAAUGCCGCGUGUGUGAAGAAGGCCUUCGGGUUGUAAAGCACUUUUGUCCGGAAAGAAAUCCUUGACUCUAAUACAGUCGGGGGAGACGGUACCGGAAGAAUAAGCACCGGCUAACUACGUG
rnacentral:rRNA from 1 species